rnacentral:lncRNA from 1 species
CUCUAGAUCAAGACACCUUAAUAGAAAAUGUGCUCCAAGGACAACCAUCACUGGAAUUUUUAAUUACAAUAAGUUGAAGCUGUUCAAUUACAUAGGUUUCAUUCUACAUCUUUCGAAACUCGUUUCCCUUUGCGUAUAGUGAUGUUGAAUGAAAUAUCCAAGUUUCUCUCCUCGAUUAUUUUUGCACACGUCGUCAACAUAUGGGACAAAUCGUCGACCGUUUCACUUUCGUUGGCAGUGCCACUUGAUUCACCUUGCAAUGAAUACUCUUUAUACGGCUGAGCGUUAGAAAACUUGAAAAGCCUACAGUUGAGGGUACAACUAUGGAACAACAACUCUUUAUUGUCCGAAUUCUUUUCUACCUCCAACCACCUAACGAAGCCCUCGCCACAGUUUGGGCAUUUCAUCUUUUUUGGACAUUCUGGCAACAUGUGUCUUGCCAUCCUACAAGAAUGACAUAAUCCCCUGUUCUAGCCACCCAUAGAACAAUCCUAAUCCAAUAAAAAAAAUUAAUCACUUGUUCAUAAAUUACAUAUUACAUAUACCCUAAACCUAAGUAAGCCAAAUUACACCUAAUAACUCCGAAGUUGUUGCACCAACACAAAAAUUGCAGCUAUGUUUUUGGGAUAAAUUGUGAAACUUUCGUGAAAAUUUCUACUGUGGUGAAAAUUUUUGUUCUUUCUCGUAAAUUUGGCUAGAAACAUAGCUGCAAUUUUUGUGAAAAUUCUGCUUGUGAAAAUUUCUUAGUGAAAACAUGAAAAUAAUACCUACCACUCCAUAGCUCCAAAAAGAAGUGAAAAUAAUACCAAAAAAGUGAAAACAAUACCAAAAAUGGGUAUAAAAAUUGUUUCAAAUCUCAACCUGAAGUAGCUCUUCACCGCUGAAGAUUUGAAAAAUUGUG